rnacentral:antisense_RNA from 1 species
AAUUACUAUAUGAUUAGAAUCAAUAGGUUCUUUGUUAAUGUAGAAUAUUUCAAACUUUAGUGAGGAAUGAAACGAUUCUAUUGGUGCGUUAUCUGAGG